GCAAACAGGAUUAGAUACCCUGGUAGUCCACGCCGUAAACGAUGAGUGCUAAGUGUUGGAGGGUUUCCGCCCUUCAGUGCUGCAGCAAACGCAUUAAGCACUCCGCCUGGGGAGUACGACCGCAAGGUUGAAACUCAAAGGAAUUGACGGGGGCCCGCACAAGCGGUGGAGCAUGUGGUUUAAUUCGAAGCAACGCGAAGAACCUUACCAGGUCUUGACAUCCUUUGACCACUCUAGAGAUAGAGCUUUCCCUUCGGGGACAAAGUGACAGGUGGUGCAUGGUUGUCGUCAGCUCGUGUCGUGAGAUGUUGGGUUAAGUCCCGCAACGAGCGCAACCCUUAUUGUUAGUUGCCAUCAUUUAGUUGGGCACUCUAGCGAGACUGCCGGUGACAAACCGGAGGAAGGUGGGGAUGACGUCAAAUCAUCAUGCCCCUUAUGACCUGGGCUACACACGUGCUACAAUGGGAAGUACAACGAGUCGCUAGACCGCGAGGUCAUGCAAAUCUCUUAAAGCUUCUCUCAGUUCGGAUUGCAGGCUGCAACUCGCCUGCAUGAAGCCGGAAUCGCUAGUAAUCGCGGAUCAGCACGCCGCGGUGAAUACGUUCCCGGGCCUUGUACACACCGCCCGUCACACCACGAGAGUUUGUAACACCCGAAGUCGGUGAGGUAACCUUUUUGGAGCCAGCCGCCUAAGGUGGGAUAGAUGAUUGGGGUGAAGUCGUAACAA
rnacentral:rRNA from 1 species